UGGGGAAUUUUGCGCAAUGGGCGAAAGCCUGACGCAGCGACGCCGCGUGUACGAUGAAGGCCUUUGGGUCGUAAAGUACUGUCAACGGGGACGAACGCCUCAGAUUGAAUAGGUCUGAGGUCUGACGGUACCCGUGGAGGAAGCACCGGCUAACUCUGUGCCAGCAGCCGCGGUAAUACAGAGGGUGCAAACGUUGCUCGGAAUGACUGGGCGUAAAGCGCGCGCAGGUGGCCCGUUAAGUUGGCUGUGAAAUCCCCUGGCUCAACCAGGGAAGUGCAGUCGAUACUGGCGGGCUCGAGUCCCGGAGAGGGUGGUAGAAUUCCCAGUGUAGAGGUGAAAUUCGUAGAUAUUGGGAGGAAUACCGGUGGCGAAGGCGCUCUACUGGACCUGUACUGACACUAAGGGACGAAAGCUAGGGGAGCGAAAGGGAUUAGAUACCCGCGUAGUCC
rnacentral:rRNA from 1 species